GGCACGGCGGGGCACGGGCCCUGCUGCAAACGGGCGCGCUCCCUUCUGGGCAAGCAGGUGCGAGGCGCGCGCCAUGGAACAGCCCUUAGCUGAGUUUCGGUUUGCGCGCAAACGGCCGGCCUGGCCGCCCAACGCAGCAUUUCCAGCCAGGGCGCACAAACCUCGGGAGAGAAGGUGGAAGCCGCAGGGGCUCUAAAGGCAGCCCCAGGUUGGCUAAAGCGGUUCCUGGUACGGACACCAAGGCCCCCGUGCUCGGGCCCUACCCAGCCUGGUUCAGGCCUGUCAUACUCGUCUUUCUCUUUCCUGGGAAAUUGCUGAUGGUUCAAGUAAAGACUCUGAAGCAGUCUCAGGGAUAUACUGCUUGGUAGUAAAAGUCAAGUCUUCAUCAUCUAGUUUACGGCAUGAAUCAACACACAGUUGUUUGAAAAUGCUGAAUGCAGAUUUGUCAGAACUCCCUGAAUCUUCUGCACUUGCUCCUCCUUCUCUCAAACUUGCAUUCUUUGAUGCUUCUGGAUUGUCAUUUUGAAGACCAUUUUCAAGUAUCUUUUUUUUUAUGUUGCAAAAUUUGUUGUUGAAUGCUAGUCAAAACACCACAAAUAGCAUAAUUGUUUGCUGUCUGUCCAUACAUAUCUUGAAUAAAGACAGUAAUAUUUUGUUGAAGAAUGCCAACUAUACCUAACGAGCCAUAAUGUACAGCAGGCGUGAAGGCUGUUCCUCUCAACCUAUCAACAGCAUGUGCAUUUGCUUGUUUCUUCACUAAAAAUUCCAGCAUUUGCUGUCUUUUGCAAACUGCAGCAAGUAAAAGUGGUGUGUUUCCAUCAUUGUUCAGCACUUCAAUAUCCGUAUCAUGGGAAAAUAGUUUUUCUACCAGGAAUGUACUCUCAUUAUAGGACAGCAUAGUGGAGAGCAGUGUUGCUGUAGACAUCCACGUUCCAGCAGAACGAUGCCACAAAUCUCUUCCUGGCAAUGUACAGCCUCCUCAAAGGCAUCCCAUUUUGUUUAUCACCAAUGUCAAUGUGGCAUUUUCAGUUCACCAGGAGAGUCCCCACUUCCACAUGGCCAUUGGCACAGGCCAAACGUACAGCAGCCCUGUCCAUCCACAGCUGAAGGGAUAGAGAAACUGCCAUACAGAUACACACAGAGUAUGCUUCAGCCAUAAAGCUUUGGGAAAUCCUGUCAUUCGCAGCCACAUGGAGAAACCCAGAGGACAUUAGGUCCAAGAAAAUGAGCCUGGUGGAGCAAGUCCCACACUGCGUGACCUCAGGCAUGUGGACUCCAAAAAGCUUUAUCUCCUGCCCAUCCACAGAUGAAGGGAUCAAGAAACUCUGAUAUAUAUACACAAAGGAAUGUUCUUUGGCCAUCAAGAUAAUUAAAGGAUGUCAUUUGGAGGAACAUAGAUGGCCCGCCGAGGCUGCGGCUGCCUCAUCCUGCACUGUGGAUGGAAGCCGCUGAUCUGACAGGAAGUGGAGCUCAGGUGGUAAUGCUCGCUCUUGCUGUGCUGCCAGGUUCUUAACAGGCCAGGGAUGAUACUGGUCCAGGGGUGGGGGAGCCCUGCUCCAGAUGACAGCCAGAGUAGUCUUAAAUGACCUUCUGCUUUGCACAAAGGUGGUAUGCAAUCAGAAGACGUCUGAGGAGACAAGUAUGCAUCUCCCACCACAACAUUAUAUGAUGCUUGGAGUAAAAACAGUCCUCCCUGUUCCUACCCACGAAUGUAUUAUUCAAUAAAGAUUGCUGCCAGGCAUGGUGGCUCAUACCUGUAGUCCCGCACUUUGGGAGGCUGAGGCUGGGCAGAUCGCUUGAGACCAGGGUUUGAGACUAGCCUGGACAACAUGGUGAGCCACCAUCUCUGCAGAAAUAAAAUAAAAUAAAAUUAGCCAGGUGUAGUGGCCUGUGCCUAUAGCCUCAGCUACUUGGGAGGCUGAGGCAGGAGAAUAGCUUGAGCCCUGGAAGUCCAGGCAACAGUAAGCCAUGAUGGUGGCACUGCACUCCAAACUGGGUGACAGAGUAAGACCCUGUCUUAAAAAAAAAAAAAAAAGAUUGCAUUAUUCAAUCUUUUUUCCCAUAUAUAAUUUAUAUAGUUACAUAAUUACAUUCUAGUUUUUGCACAUGCCGAGAACUACAUAUAAUUUAGUAGUAUGCUGUUUUCACUUAUAUAUCACAUAUAUUUUCCUAUAUAGGUAUAUAAUAUCUAUAUUUGUCCUUUUCCAUUUGACUGCUGUGUUUCUUAAAUUGAUAUACUGUGAUCUAAGCCAGUUACAGAUUGGUAUGGAUUUAAAUUACUUCCUAUUUUCUGUUUUAUUAACAAUAAACACUGUUAUGAUAUAG
ensembl:lncRNA novel transcript